CGAAAAACUCUCUUUAUUCUCUCGCCAUGGAGUUUGUUCUUCCAGCUUAUUUCUCUUCAUUUACACUAAAUCCAUUCGAUUGUUCGGGAAUCAGGAAGGUUUCUUUCAACAACGAUGGUGAUUCUAGGUAAUCACGAUUCACGACAAGCCCCUUUCAUCAUCUUUAGUAGCCGCAGCAUCUGUUUUUGGAAAUCAAAAAUCAAUGUUUAGGAAGAGCAGAAUCAAUCUAAUUCCAAGGGCGUUGAGGAAGGACAAGUAUCAAUAGAGGAUGGCAAGCAGAGUAACAAUGAAACAAACAACUUCCUAAUUGUGGACAGAAAUCAGGAUAUUUUGAUGAGAGAAUAAAGAGGCGGCAAUUCCUAGGUGAAAUUCUCCUAUCCUGGGUAGCUAUAGAAGGGCGCUUGGCUGCUGUGGAAUAUCUUCUUGAAAUGGGUGCCAAUCCUGAAAUACCAGAUGAUUCAACUUGUAGUCUUUUGCAUCAUGCUGCUCUGAAAGGCAGGUGCUGAUCCUAAUGGUGGACCAGAUGGAAAUUUUUUGACUAUUGCAGCUGAAGUGGGGAUAAUACAAAUCAUUAAGCUUCUGGUUGAAGCUUGUGCAGAUCCAAACGUUACAGAUAUACUCUGGUUAAAGCGGUAGAAGUCGCAGCUGUUAAAGAUAAUUGUCAAGGUGUUGAGAUUCCUUUUCCUGUGACUUCUUCUAUUCCAUCAUAUGUUGACUGGAGCACAAAUGGAAUAAUAGAGCAUGCAAAUUCUGAGAAGUUUGAAAACAAGGUGAAAUAAGAAUCCGUAAGCAUUCAUAUCACCAUAUGCGACUCAGUUUGGAUCAGUUGGGAAUUUCAGGGAACAUCUUCAGUUAUACUAGAAAUGUACGUCUGUCUCUUGGAACGAAAUAGUAUACAAGCCUCCAUUUUUCUUUUUGUCAGUUUGUAAAUAUAUAUUUCUAUGCAGUCCUUUUAUGCUUAUUUCAAGAUCUACGAUCAUGUUUCAGAUCUAUACAGUUUUUCACGGGAAAGGUAGCUUCUCUGUUCCUCUCAAAUUAUUGUCACCUAAACUUAAUCUAUAAGCAACUUAAAUGUACAUCUUCGUUGAUGUUUUAUGCAGAAGCACAUGUUUAUCCUAUCACAAAUAUCACAUUCUUCAUUUGUAUGUAUAUACUUGAUACGUCUUUUCCGUGACAGCUCAGUAACAUUGCUAAACAAGUUUCAUCCCUGAUUUUUUUGACGUGCUUUCGGUCGCUCGCACGCUUUAAGAUCAUUGCUUGUGCCUUAACUCCUUUCACACAACAUAUCGAGUGUGCUUAAUUAAGCUCUGUCUGGCUUGUUUACUACUCCUAUAUCGAGUUGGUCUUUCUUCCACUCAUUUUCAUGUACUCUUCUGACCGGAGUUUCUCCUUUUCCAGGUGUUUUUGUAAAGAUGCAUAACUUCCAAUCAUGGGAUCUUUCGAUUGUUUAUAGAGAAUAGAAUUCUGGAAAAGAUCUCCUGAACAAAACAAGGUCAAAACUGUAGCACAAAGUGGAUCAAGGAUGUGAGCAAAACAUGUCAAGGGGGGAUCUGAUUGAAACAAGGGAAGAUAAAACAAGAAAUGGUUGCCUAGCUCAUGUUACAACUGGUGUUGCAGUAGAAGGUGGCAUCCGCAGCGCUAUCGUUGUUGGUUAUGGAACCUAUGAGGCUAAACGUUAUAAGGUGGCAUAUAUCUUUACUAAAGGACUUACUUCACCAGUUUUAUGUGCUCUUCACUCUUCAGUCCAAGCUUAUGCAUCCUACUUCUGCUUAGCUUGAGGGGGAGUAUUAUUAACUGAAGAAUUCUUCUUUCGUGUUGUUUUAAAUGUGUCCAUUCAAUUGUGUUUUUGCUCAGUUUGUUAAGAGUCUGAUUCAACCAGGUGAUGUAAUGACAAGUCUGUUGAAGUUUGUUCUAAUGGUCAUCUGUUCUCUUGUCCUC